UUCUAUCUUAAUUAGUGAAUCGGGCCCUAAGGCGCCGUCUUUCAAAAAAAAUGCCCGGCCUUUUCUACUAGUAGUGAAAAUGUUAGCUGCAACCUUCUGCAGCAAAUCUUGCACCUCUCACAUGUAGCCACUUUGAUCGGAUCUUCGAAUGGAUGGAAGUGCAUGAAGAUGGGAGGAACACAUCUCAUUUCGUUGCCAGCUACUAAAAGACCAUCGUUGGUUGUGGCAACGAGAUCAGCUUAUACUUCCAUUGAUCACCACGAAUGUACAUUGUUUCCAAAUCUUCUUGGGAGCUCGAACAUGUACACUGUUCUUGCAAUUGGAGCUUGUUUUUUGGGUUGUUUUAAUGUAGUGGCCAGCGACUUGUGCGUCAUGGUGUUCUCCUAAUGAUAUUCCAUGCCUUAUACAAACAAAUAUCAUAUAACCUAGCAGAUUUUGUAACUACUUGUUGCGACCGAUAAAGCGGCGAAGCCGAGUGGGCACAAAUUAUCCCAAUUUGCGAUCUACCAUAGGAUUUGUUAUGUAAGUAGGUAGUCCUAAAAAGCAAAUUGUAAUUGUAGAGGAUGAAGGAAAGAAAGAAUGAAGUCUGCACCUUUGACUACUGAUGAAGUUUCGUUGUUUUCUUUUUAAUUUAUUGUUAACCCUUACUGCUCACACUUGUUGUCGUCAUUUUAAUUUAUAAUAUAAUUUAUUUUUCCAUGAAUGUUCGGUGAGCCAUUCAGGAGGUGACAUCUAUGAAUGGCUUAUGUGUGCGGGUGGAAAAUAGUACUACCUCCCUUGCGGAUUAUAGGGCUUAUCUCGAUUUUUUUUCCUGUUUUGUAAGUCUCAAUUGUAUUUCUCCCCAUCAUAUGUUCAGAUUUCGAAGUCCAUUAAAUCGCUGCAUGAAAGGAUUAAAAUAAAACUCAUCAAUGCAUGUAGAAGUUUUGGUCAUUCAUUGGUCACACAUGCAUGCAUUGCAACUAAGGCAUUGUUAGUCUCAAAGUUUUUGAGGAAAACAAAUGCAUUAAUUAAGUUUUUUUGUAAACUUCAAAAUAUAAUCCACCAUUCACCAACCACCUUGGUUGGUAAAUUUUGAAUUAUUUUCUAUAGACCGGAAGAGAGGGACUAGUGGGGAUCAAUUAAUAAUG
rnacentral:lncRNA from 1 species